CAACUCCAUGGAUCCUGUACAGAUUACAGAGGAGGAGGUGUUCCCUUGGACCCUACAGGAAAUACAGAGAUGAAGAAAUUUCUCCAUUCUGCUCUUUGUGAAAGUCACAUCAUGACUGGGAAUUUCUUUUGGACUACCCUUGGCUUUGGA